GCUGUAGCUUAGUGGUAAAGCAUCCGCUUUGCAUGCAGAACAUUAUAGGUUCUAUUCCAGGCAUCUCCA